ACACUUUAGUAUUCCAAUUUAGUAAAAUGCUCCCAGAUUCUCAGAAUUCCUGAAGUAUAAUCUGAUUCAGAAGCAAUUCUUUAUUUAAUUGGGCAUUAUGGAAUGAUUCCUUUCUCUUUUUACUACCUACAUUUUGGAUUAUUUCACAUUAAAUUCAGUCAUGCAUUUGUCAGCAUUUCGCUUCUCAUAUUUUCUUGCAUAAAACCUCACGUUGACACUUAUGAGGAUGCUAUUCUACUUGACAGAUUGAAGUGGUUUCUAUGGGUGAGAUGGAGCUUAAGACUGAGGAAAGUAUUUUUGCCAGGAUAACAGAACUCUUUUUAAUUCUGUGCCUCUCUUUGCCUACAGAUAAUGACUUUAAAUAAGAUGCUAGUAUGUCAAGUUCUCAAUGGAAAAUUCAGCAUAGAAAAUUCAGUUCCCUUGAAACAUAUUCUUCUAGUAUACUGUUAUUAAGAGAAGCAUCAGCUUGACAGUGACAAAAAAUGUUUUCAUUUUCCAGGUUUCCCGAAUCUGCAGUUUCUGUUUUGAAGAGCCAGCACUUACGGCAGAAACUCCUUCAGUCUCUGUUUCUUGAUAAAGUUUAUUGGGAAAGUCAAGGAGGUAGACAAGGAAUUGAAAAGCUUAUUGAUGUCAUAGAGCAGAGAGCCAAAAUCCUUCUUACCUACAUCAAUGCACAUGGGGCCAAAGUAUUACCUAUGAAUGAAUAAAAGGAUCUUCUGGCUAGAACACUAGACAUAUUAACGCAUUUGUUUUUCUUUUUGUUUUUAAAUCAAGUACACAAACCUCAAUUCUUUUUAGGAAUGAGGCACUGGAGAUGAAUAUAUAAAAUAAAUGAGUUUAACCAAGUGUAUACGAUAGGUCUGAGCAUGAUAAGCAGACUUAAAACCUUU